AGCCGACCACAUGUGAGUCCUUGGAGAGUGUUCACACAGGAUUGAUGGGCAAAUGAAGACUAGGAGGAUGAAGACGAAGAUGGAUCAGUCCAACAAAGAUUCCUGGAGAACUGACU